UCUCCACCAUCCUCUGGUACUCCACUCUGGCCAAGAAGCCUCUGCACCUGGCCUGGGUUCGGGUAAUCAGCUGGGCCAGCUUCUCGUCUCGCAUCUCCUCUAGAAGCCCCAGAAGACCAGCUUUGAAAAAGACCUGUGUGGGGGGAGGAUAUGCAGAUCAGAAACUGUACAUAAACUUCAAAGGGACAUGGAUAGCAUCGGGUGGGCUUUAGAGGCCAUUACCUUGGUGUGACCAAAUUUAUACUGGGUGUGGUCAACGUCGAUGGACCCAAGGAGCUUCUCAGAAGCCUUCUUGCUGUCAAUGAACUGCCCUUCAGGGAUUGCACUUGCAUUUAAUACCUUGUAUCUGUUUAGGCCAAACAAAUAAAUGAUACAGCUAUUGUCACCAAUAACAAAUCUUCUUGCCUUAUUUUAGAAAUGAUGUAACUUUUGGGUAGUCUAACAAACAUAAACAAGAAAUCAUAUCUACAUCUUUAUUCUCUGCAUAUUCAAAGGGUGUCAAACUUUUGGCAUAUCAGCAUACCAAAUGAUCAAUACAGAGUCUGUUAAGUGUGUUUCUCUUCUCCUCAAUUAUAAUAGAAUGUAUAAAGGAUUUUUAUUUCAAUCAAAAAAGUUGAAAUAAAUAAAAGAACCUCUUGAGAUCAUUUGAAGUGAGAAAGUCUGACCUCUGUUUGAAGUCUGCAUAAAGGAUUCUGCUGGGGAAUCCCUUCCUGCAGAUGCGGAUGCCUUCCAGCACUCCGUUACACCUCAGCUGGUGCAGGACAAGUUCAUGCUCCAUGGCCCCUAAAGGGAAGGAUACACAUGCCUUAUUUCA
rnacentral:lncRNA from 1 species